rnacentral:rRNA from 1 species
AUGGAGAGACCAACUGAAGAAAUAUCUGACUACAGUGAAGCAUGUACUGCGGCAUGUGUGUGCACACUGAAUUAUGACUACGGUUAUAAGAAAGAAGCAGCAGAUCAACUGCAAGUCAAUGGGUUCAGUGACAGUGAUUUGGCCGGUGACAGAAAUGACAGGAAGAGUACCUCGAGUGUGAUCUUUUAUAUCGGUUCGAAUCCUGUUAGCUGGGUUUAUCAGAAGCAAAAUAUUGCUGCUCUCUUCUUGUGUUUAGAAGAAUAUGUUGCUGCAACGGCAGCAGCAUGCCAAGGAAUUUGGUUGGAACGUCUGCUGAGUGGUCUGCUCGAUGAAGAAGCGGUGGAAGUAAUGCUGAAGGUGUACAAUCAGUCAGCAAUCUCGUUGAGCAAAAAUCAUGUUCGUCAUGUAGAAGCAAGUAUAUCGAUGCACGCUAUCACUUCAUAUGUGAGUGUGUUUAGUCGGAAAAGAUCGUGCUUGAACAUGUCAUAA